rnacentral:lncRNA from 1 species
CUUGUUAUAGCACUUAAGGAUAAGAGAUAGAGUUAGUGUAUUAAGAAUGGACCUCCCUCGUCUGCCUCUGCUCAUGCAACAAAGUAAGAUAUAAUAAUAAGAUAUAAUAUAAUAAAAGAAAUCAUUCAUUUAGUAGGGUUCGCCCUUCCAUUUAGUAGGGGCCAAGUAACUACGUCAGUUAAAAGCGUUAGUCUCCGGUUUCAUUCCGACUUUCCUACUUUAGAACCAAUGGGGAGGCUAGUUACAUCUUCUAUAUCUUCUAUUAGGGUUAGUACGAGAAAACUCUCCCUUCAUUUGCACCCGGUUCAUUUGUUUCUUUCUCUCUUUCUCACUGGCGAAUAGGCAUACUACACUUGAGAACUGAAGCAGGGGGGGUAAACAGGCCCAAGGGAGCUAUCAAUAAAGGGUUUCUAAUGCAUUUCUAGGUUCCUCAGGGGGUGCUAAAUGAAAGAUUUGACAUAAAACGAGAAAAGUGGUUAAAUAGUGCAUUCUUAACCCUAUUCUUAGUUUUUGAGUAGAAUUACAAUACGAGGGAUAGGUUUGUGUCAUUACAAUUCCUGUUUUUGGGUGUUCUCUCCUUGCUCGGUUCUCUAUUUCUUCUUAGCUUAACAAAAGAACUUCAUCUUAUCCUCUGCACCCACUCACUCCCGUUCACUCAGUUAUUCUCUUAUAAGAGUUCCCUAGCGAUACAUCUGGUGUUUUCUUAGAUAUUAUCUUAUAUUAUUUCUUCUCUUUUUAGAGUCUGAUUUCUUCUCUUUUUAGAGUCUCGUCUUAGAUAUUCUCUUCUCUUAUUUCUUCUCUUUUUCGUGUUUAGGUCUGAUCGGAACAGUUUACUAAUCCCACGGUGCAGUGCGGGCGGGGUAAGAGGCUUCUCUUCUCCUCAAGUCUAUCUAAACCAUCAAUUCAUAUUGCCAACGUUCUUUUUCACUACUCUACUUUCAAAAGGUUCUCUAUCAGCUGGAUGUCUACUAAACGAAAACGAAUCCCAUUCAAGCAAAGAUAAGAAAGACGACGCUCCUGUCCUGGCAAAGUAAGCAAGCCCCUAUGAAAGAGAGGACCCUUCAAACAUAGCCUUUCUACCCUGAGACAAAAGCCAUCAAAGCCAUUAGCAAGGGAAAGCUUAUUGUAAGCUCUCGGAACUUACUUAUGAGGAGGAGACCGCGCCCUUCUUUCUUCACCGGCUAUCGAGAAGAGAAAAUGUAGCUAACUAAGCAUAAAGCUAAUCAACUUCAAUGCAGUGGAGUAAGUAAAUAGGCAGUGAACAAACACUCAAGGGAAGAUCAUGUCACUGAAGACCAAGCCGCGAGCUAGCUCAGUUAGAACGAAAUUCGAACUAGAUGAACCAGAAUCAGAUGUGUGAUAUACAUAUAUAGAAACACUUUUGUAGUACACCAAUUUAGUACACCAAUAAGAAAGGAGAAGAAGGGAUGCUUGAUUGAACUCGGAGAAACGAGACCUGAAAGCUGCUCCAUUGAAUUUAAUGGAUUGCCAGGAGAACCCAUUGGCUGAAUGAAGGCAAAGGAGAAGGAGAGAUAGAUGCUGGAUCGUAAUGGCACUCCUCUAUAUCAGGCUUAGCACUAUACCUUUGAUUCUGACUUGUUUAUUGACUUAUUCCACUUUGUAUUCUAUUAACUUAUAUUAACACAAACAAUAUAGUAUAUUAAAUGAAAUAGCUAACUACAACUACUAGCGAGAUUGAACUAAAGCUAACAAUACUUAUGCUCUAAACUAACUCCUUCAUUACUAGAACCGAUCUGUACUUGCUCUUAGUCUCACUGCACUAAUCCCUAUUCUCUUGUGUUAGCCCGCGACUCCCCGAUCUAAUAUCUGUAUUUGUAUACAAGCUAUUGACCUCAAUGCCUAUCUCCUGUUUUAGUCCGCCCUUACUAGAUCUCAUUCACACAUGAGAGGACAUGGGAUAGAAUACGAUGUGCUCGGCAACUAAGCUAUGGGUUGAGUCUACUUUAAGCAUCUAAUCUAAGCUAUGGGUUGAGUCCACUUUAAGCAUCUAACCUCUUAAGGACUAUUGGAUUGCCUUGUAGGUCUUAUUAAUGGGGUUAUUUGGAUUCUGUUCGGGUCAAGGAGAAAGUGGAGUUCAAUCAAUAGUAGAAGAUAGAAUACUUGGAAUCCACUGCUGCUAUAGUUGUCGAUGUAGACUUGAUUCGCCCCCCAAGAGAUUCCGUAUACUAGAAGAGGUGGGCAAGGGAAGCAGUUCAGUCAUAAUUUUGGACAUAGGUAUCGGAGCCAGCAGGGUGAUCGGACUUGCAACUGGAUACCCCGGUUUGAUUCUAAUUAAUAACCUGCCGCCAUGAACACCAACGGACACAGGUUCACUCUGGACAAGACUCUGUGCUAAGCAAGACUCAGUGUGCGGGAAGUGAAUAAAGAUGAAAUGUUGCUUGCAAUGCGAGUUGACUCAGCGUAAGAAGACUCACAGUGUGCGUAAGGUCAGAAUCAAAUAAAGGUAAGGAAGCGCGUCAUGGUCCAAGCAUCAAAGUCAAGUUAUAAAGUCGAGUUCGGAAGUCAACUGCAAGCUAAAAGUAUUGUUCAAGUGAUAGGGCAGGGCGAAAGAAUGGAGAACUAGAUAGGGCGCAAUAAUUAUAGUCUUCAUCCAGAUAAGCAGGCGCUUCAACAGUGUCCUUAAUUAAUUGGCGGCAGGGAGCUUAGAGACAAGUAAAGAAGCUAGUUCAAGAAACAGAAGAAUUGGAGUGACCCACGCCCCCUAUAAUUGAUAUUGGGAACCAACCAUGUGCUUUCCACUCCCAAGUUAGAAUUGCACUUGACCGGAGGAAAGAGAAUCACUAGUUUAUUGAACAAGUAAGUAUAAGAAUUAUAAGAAGCUACUCUCUAGCGGAAUAUGAAUAGUAAUAGUAUAAGGGUACUCUCUAGCGCAUUCAAUGAUCUCGACUUCAAGUUCCGUUUUCACCUGCUCAAACCCCUUCUCCAGCUGACGCCUCUGAUCCUUAUCUUUAAACAGGAACUGGCAACUUGACUUCCGCAGUUGAUCUUCAGUCAACUAAUAAUGAUUCUCUCCCCCACCUGCCUAUAAAGAAGAAGGAAAGGAAGGUGCUAAGAGCCUAUUGUCUAUACCAGAGGUGUCACAAUUCCAUUCUUAAAGCAACUACAAACUACUAAAAUCGAGCUGCUACUGAUGAGAAUGAAAACGGGGAAUAAAGAAUCAAACUAAGGAUAACAGGACUGAAUCCUAUCCUCUACUGGAAAGAAUGCACUACUAACCGCGUAGAUAAAACGACUAUUAUAAAUAAUACAAUAGACAGGAUGUAAACUACUAAUGGAAAGAAUUGCACUAGUGUUAACAAGGGCCAAGCAACGAGCCAAGCAACAGUAAGAACGAAACCACUACUAAUAAGAAUGCAACUUCCAUUGAUCAAGCAUCCGCUCCUGUUCGAACCCUUAAACAAAGAAUGGAAUUGCCUAGGAGCAGCUCCCCCUUCGGCUAAUGAUUAUCUUUAUUGUCCUGCUGGGAGCUUAAGAGCAAACUCGCAACUACUGUAUGAGUUAUCAAAAGUGCUGUGUUCGGCGCCUCUUUAUAUAAAGUCAAGAAUGGAAUUGCCUAGAACAGUUACACCCCCGGCAGUAGUAGCAGUUGUAGUAACACCUAUCUAUGGAGUUGGGGAGUUAGGUACAAAUAUUCCAUUAGUCCUGUCUUCGUAGAUGUUUUCAGCGGUAAGACAAAGAUAAGUAAGUCUCUAACCCUUUACUUGCUUACUUACUUGCUUGCCUGGAUAGAAAGAAGAUUCGAAAGGUUUUAGUCAAAUUGGAAUUCUUUUUGACCUCGCUAUUAGCUAAAAUGGCUUUGCUAUUAAAAAUACCGUGUUUUGGUGACUUCCAGAAAGAUACUUUACUUACCUUUGCCACACUUCAGAAUUUCCCCUUGCCGCCGACCUCACUUUCAGAUCCUGGCUCUGAUCCUGCUCCUGUCCUUGUUAUACUAGUUUAUUAUAUCACUUCCUAUCUUAUUGAAUUACCUAUCUGAGAAUUCCACUCAAAACUCAUAAUUGAUGUAAAUAACACUAGAGUAACUCAGAUCUAUCAUACCAGUGCGGGGAACACAAGAAUGAUUCUGUUUCAACUGCUUCCUCACCAGCUUCUGAUCCUGCUGACACAAACUCAUUAACUAUGACUUAUUCUUAUCAAGCAUCAGAUCUUUCCACUACUGAUUGAUUCAUUCUCAUCGCCAACAACAGGCUAGGCUGCAUUCGCCUCUCUCUCCUAUGGCUACCCGGUCCUGGCACAGCUACAACCUUCUGGUCUCUUUUCUUUUCUAAGCAUUAUCCUUAAUAAUAACAGAUUGCCCACCUCUUUGGGGCAUGAAGCACUACUUGGCCUACCUCUGUUACUGGGUUACUUAUUUCUAGAAUACCUAGCUCAUGAUUCCUUUCCUACUAGCUCUGAUACCUUAGCUUAUGUACUAGAUGCACCAAGUAACUACUAAUGUGUAGCGGCAGGAGUCUUUGCCAAUGCUAUCAGUCAAGCCAAGCAACUAGACAAGUAGCGUGACAGGAGCCCCGUUUGACGAGAAAACGCAUCUUUGCAUUCAACUACGAGGGGUUAGUUUCUAUCUGCAUUUCUUUCCCUGCCAUUCUUAUUGUAUGCCGACCUCGCCUCUUUAUUUCAGAUUCUACCUUGUCUCUCUCUCUCCUCUUUAUUUCAGAUUCUACGUUUCUUUAGAGCCUACAUCUAAGCUUAGAAUAGGGAUGUCCUUUUCUAACAAAAUGCACCAAUCAUACGAGAUACUAUGGAGGAAGCCCAAAGUCUGUUACUAGGCUCUAGUCGGGCACUUAUUAUAGGUCUAGUCGGGUGCUAAGAUGUUGGUUCGGGGGCAAGCGCUUAUUCUAUCAAAAUCCUGCUUCGUUUUCUGUUCCCGAUUCAAUCUGAACCUUUCCUGAAUGAAGAAAUAGAGAGAAAGACUGUGAAAAGCAGAGAUCUUUUCGUCGAGGAAGAGUAACUGAACUAAGUAUGCAUUCGGAAGCUUUAUCGGUAAUGACACCCCCUAUUGUGAAUGAUUAUUAUAGCUUUCCAGUCUUUGCCGCUGUUGCUUGAGCCGAUUGUGCAGAUCAAGUUCCUAUUCCAUUAUGGCGGUGAGCUUUCUAGCGGACUUACUCACUUUUUCGGAAGCUUCAAAUGGUCAAAAAGAUUCAUCUCAUCUUUUUCUAUGUCUGGGGGCCACCAUUACGGUAUGAAGUGCAGUGCUUUCUUUGACCUAAGAAUGCCAUUUCUUAGUUCAUCCCUAUUUCCGAAAGAAUCUUGCUUAGAUGGUAAAGUCUGACUCUUAUCUUUCCUUACCAAGAGGUGAUUCAAUCAAUGUACUUGCUUGUAGUUUCAAAGGUAUUGGCUUUGUGUAAAAGAGAUAAGAGAGCUCUUUCCUCUUUUUGAUAUAUUCUAUAAUUCUAUGAGAAAUGGAAUUCGGGAAGGUGCUAUACCUACCCUUACCUCUCUCUAGGUAAGCAAUAACAAUGACCUUCCUCCUAUUAAGUGUCCCUAAUCAAUUACCAGACUAAGACUUUGAUGUCUAGAUCACUACCCUCUCCAACACAGUCGAGCACUUAAUCCCUUGAUCCUAACCAAAGGAAUAGGGGAUAGAAAAGAGUUGCUUGAGAUUGACCAGCAUGCACUAGCUGAUAAUGCUAAGUUAUGGAGCACUUGUCUUCUAGCGGGAACCAGUAUAACAAGUAUUCCUCAAAAGGAUUAGGCUCCGGUGUGGAUGUCAUUCAGCUGCUUAUGGCUCGCUUUCUCUUUCCAUUCCAUUUCCACCUUGUUCACAGGCGAAUCAAGCUGCUAUCAAAGCUUGUCAAUCGAUUCUUUCAUAACCUUAACUCUCCAUUGCGAGUUCUUUGACUCUAUUCCAAAGAGUAGACUGGAAGACCAUGCUUGUGCGAGCGCCUUUUCCGAAGCCUCCAAUUCUUUUCAUUUUCUUCUGCAAUACGAGAUUUUCUCUUUUUUCGGUGGUGGAGCGAGGUAGACUCGGUCUUCGAAAAAGUCAUUUCAUAUAGAAAAGAGGGAUUGAGUCUGUCUUCUCUCCUAUAUUGAUAUUGGACAAGAGAGCUCCGGUGCUAUCUUUCAUGGACGAAUCCCCUGCUUGCUUGAUAAGAAAGAAGCCGCGCUAUUGAAUCAAUCAGCUGUGAACGAAUCGGAUGUAGCAAGAAUAAGUGCUUUGUUAUUGUUCUAUCUUUUUUCUUUCUUUUUCGCCCGGUUAGCCUUUCUUUGAAAGAAUACGGGGUUAGAGCCUAAUCAAAUAUGCCCAUUUUCCAAGAAGGAGCUGCACAUGAAGCAGAGAGUCCACUUGUGGGGGGAACAAUGAAAGCCUUAGGUAUCCUCGAUGAUGCUUUGUCACCCUCGAGAAUGCUUGUACAUGCCUAUGAUGAUUCCACUAGGAAAUGAAUCCGCAAAGGUAACGGUAACAAAUAAGAAGAAGACACGAAUUGAUGUUAUGGCACAGGGAACCCAGUCCUGCUUACGCGAUGGUGUGCUUGGACAGAGGGCUAACUGGAAUCUUCUUCGACCAGAAACCUUGGAUCUACUUGCUUGAACAGAGUACUCUCCGCCUCUGUUUAUCUGUUUACGAAUGGCCCCACAGGCCUAAGCGAUGAUGGCUCCAGGCCUAAGCGAUGAUGGCUCCGGCGUUCUUGGUCAAUGAUGUCGUUCACUUCUGACCUUCCCAUUUGGACUGUCAAAGGAGGCCGUCAAAGGUCAUUUGGGGGUGGGUUUACGAGAGGGCCUUUUCCCUUACUUCUCUUUCCUUCGCUUGGUAGACGAGUCAACGAUAGAGCGAAAGAAAUGCCCAUGGAGUACGACUCGCUAGAGCUCCUGCAGCCUCCGUGCCUAGAGAGCUGCCCCCCACUGAUCAAAGGAAUGAACGAUGGUGCGGAACCCUUUCUCGCUUUUCGGAAAUCAAUACGUGUACACCUUUGUCUUAAUACCGUCUAGCCGAUAUAAUUCCCCAAAUAGGCUUUCACUAAUGAAGUAGGCUUUCGACAAUGAGAGAUGGUAAGCCUUUCUUCCUUAGAUGCCUUGAAAGUGCCUAUUCUUUCUUUCCUUAGAUGCCUUGAAAGUGCCUAUUCUUUCGAGAAAUACUUUCUAGAGUUCUUCAGAUUCUCUCAUAAAAGAAAUAAAAGAUAGUGGGAGUUAAGAUUCGGGACUAUAUACUGGCUGCUAUCUCACUCUAUAAAGUCAAAUAAUAGAUGUGUAGAGCGCGGGCAUGCUUCGUCCUGUUCCUUUGCCCGCCGAGAGUUGUUAGUGGAACGCCCCUAAUUCCAUUCCCACUGAGGGGUUUGAAAGCUAUGGCGGGAAGUCUAUUUUCUCCCCAACUAAUUACCUUCACUCAGAAUUCUUUUGACUUGACAUUCGUUAUCCCCUCGACCCCUGUAUGUAGAGGCCUUUGAAGACCACUACUAAAUACAGAGGAUCUUGAUAGAAAGUGGUGCAGGAUUUCAUAUUUGUACAUUGAGUACAGCCAGGCAGUGGAAUUUGGAUCCUUCUUGCUCUGCUCCUCACUACAGCUGUUCGUGCAUAUGACGGGACCACUCGAACUGCGCAAGGUAGAGUUUAUUGUCAUCUCCAAGUGGGACCCCUUGUUCGGUCAACUCUAUUCCAUGUAGAGCAGAUAUCCUAUAAACAUAUCCAAUGUUGCUAGCACGACCUUGGAUCCACGCCAACUUGGUUGUAGCAUCCUCAUAUCAUAUCAGUAUCAAGUUUCCCAUGAACGCGUAAUGUCUCUACCUUGAUAGCUACCCCGUAAACCCAAGCUUCAUUCAAGUUCCGUCCCUUCUUAUCGAUCCUGUAUUGAUCUACCACCAUCCUUCUCUUUUUCAUGAUCUUUGGUGGCAGCCUCCGUUUCCGUGGCAACGGCGAAGAGCGGGAAUCACCUAAAAAGAAAGAGCUUCUUCCUUUGCUACAGAUGCCUAACUUAUUCCGUCUCAUCCUCAUACUUCGGUUCUAGAGAGCUGCCAAAAAUGGAUCUUUUGCUUCUCUUCUGACGGCCAACCACACGAUUCAAGCUAUGAGGAACUCGCCAAUGACUUGGAUUUCCACCCUUGCCCGGGAACAAAUGCUUCAAGGCUUUACUUCCUUGGUCCCGAUCGGCCGUUCCGAGUAGCAGGAGAUUACCUAACUACAGGACCCGAGUGAUCUUCUGCCCAUACUUUCUUUCCUUAAUGACCUUCCAGUGGCUAGGCACCAGCCAAGCAAUGCCUUGUGCGUUCCCCAGCCAUUAGCGGUUGUAAGAGCAGAAGUAGUUUCAAGAGAAGAAUCUGCUUUAGUUUACUCGGCGCUAACAGAGCCUAAAACAGGACGGACUUGCACCAACACAAGGAAUUGCCGGUUGGCUUUCCCCUACUAGCUUUGUUCUUAGCUUUCCAGAGUGGACCUCUGCUCUUUCACUUAUUCACACACAACACUUCUUGUCCCUAGGAAGGAAGAUCAUCCAGCUCUUUUCAAAUGUCAUCGUGUAUAUAUGAGCUUAUCUCUUUUCUCUUGCUCAUCUAAACAAACAGCCCACGUAACGCUUAAGUCUCAAGUGAGCGGACCUACUUAACGCUUUGCCAGGAUAAUCAAAUAUAGAAUAAGAAGAAGCUCAAGCAUAAGCAGAAACAGCAGAUAGAUCCGGAUCCGAAUAAGACAAGCAACAUCAGUUUACUAAGAAUCAUAUGUUGGAUCAGCAGCAAGAGAAGGAAAGUAGAGUCGACAAGAUAGGAUAGGCCAAAUCAAAGGGAAUAGAGUGAGUGUCUGUACUUCAAUCUAUACUUUGUGUGACUUAUCUCAAUUCCAUUCUAACUUCAAGUCCUGAGCGUUGUUGUUAUUGAAUUCUAUCAUGUGCUGUAGGAAAGAAAAGUGUUUCAAAGGUGAAAUGGCUGGAUCAGUUGCCCCCGCCUUUGGUCUAGCCGGAUCUGCUCCAGGGAAAGCUUCCGCAUCCUUACCCCUAUAAGCUUGAACUUCACAUUCAUUCCAUACCCGACAGAGAAAUGACAGUGGGAAAAACAGAAAGAAAUCAAUCCAGAAAUCAAGAAAACUGUAGAUGUAGAAAACUGUAGAUGUAGGGUCCCGAUGUUGCUUAUAGUACUUUACUAUAGUGGAGUAUGCUUAUUUGCGCUGUUCUCUUGCUUGUUUCAUAGAGUGCACCCCAUAUAGAGUCACUUAGUAACAAAACCCCGAAAACGGACUCAUUCUAGUCAAGAACACAAGUCCAACUAGUUUGCUGGGUGAAUUGAGGCAUCUCGAGUGGGUAGUUCACUGUGCUUGUUUGCGCUUACUGAGUUUAUAGAUCCCCAGAGGACUCUACAGAUUGACUUAGCGCUUCAACGCCCUCUUCUUUAUACGACGGAGCUCAUCUUUCUUUCCCGCUUCUUUGAUACAACAACGAUUAACUGUUUCAUCUCGGCAAAGCUUAUUCUCUGGUCGACCACUACUCUACUCAAUCAAGCACUCUAACGGAACUACAUUCAAAGCUAAGCAAAGGCGAGUCCGCCAAUCAAUCAAUCCGACCUUUUGCGCUUGAUACUAUUCUUUUACGGGACCUAAUCACUAUCGUUGGUGAGUUCCUAAGCCAUCUCAUUUAUCUGAAGUGAAGCAAGCCACCUUUUCAUCUUCAUCGAGUGCCCGGACCACAAGCUCCAUAUUCCAACACCUAUAUUGGAACUACAUCUCUUUCUCCUGUUCAACUUCAAGCAGAGCGGCUAAGAAGCUUCAAAGUCCGAUACGGAAGGCAGCUAGUCAAGUAAGAAAUAUGAUUAUAUGAACUGAGCUGAUAGUCAAGUAAGAAAUCAGAUUAUAUGAACGAACGACUCUAUUACUAAGAAAUAGGAAAUAGAAGUAACACACAUAAGAUAUAAGAAAAGUCAAGUAACCGAACUCAAUAAGUCAUAAGUGCAAUAGAAGUAAUAAGUGCACAAUAUGAUAGAAAUUGAGUCAAGCUCACUCCUUACUCCUUACUCUCCUCUUUAGUUAACAUUCUAUAAUAAGGUGAACCACCCCCUUAUUUCACUCGAACGUGUUCAUUCAUAUAAGUGCAAGAUGAGAGAAUUCCUUUUAGUAAAGUUAAUACACCGAUAUUAGAUCUUCCCUAUUGUGUACUUCGUGAAUUUGCCAAUGUUGAGUUUAGCGCUUUAACCAUUCAGCCAUGGAUAAGGAAUGGAAGAAAAGCUAGCAGCGGGAGAAAGCUUUAAGGUGCUUCAGAGAUAGGGCGGUUAUAGUAAGCUGGCGAGUUAUUGUGUUGUCCUAUCUUAUCUAUAAGCUCAUCUCUUUUCGAAUGCCCCCUGAUACAUAAAUUGUUGUAUUACUUGAGUGAAUUCUUAUUGCUUGAGAUUUACCUGCAGGGCACUAUCCGUCUCAGUUAUGGAGCACUUUAGUCUUCUCGCGGGAGAACGAAGCUCAAAAGAAUUAGGCAGAGGUGUGGAUGGAUCAGGCAAUAUAUUGGCCUAAGGGGUAAGGAUCUGAUUCCAGCACUAGUAGGAUCUUUCUCAUUUAGUUAACCCAGGCGACAGACGUAGACCUUCUUUUCUCGAGAGGUCCUUUGGUUAAUCCACGGCCUCCACUUUCUUCUCCGAAUACAGGAAUGGGGUCGUUGUGGGGAUGGCACCCUUUGAUCCCCAAAUAGGCUUUCUUAUCCCCUUGAAUGUCUCUCUUUUCUUUACUGCGAAAUGCAGAAAGGUAUGGUAGGGAGCCUCUCACUGCUUAUGGCUUGCUUUCUCUCUUUUUGAAUCACUUCCUUGUUUACAGGCGAAUCAAGCUGCUAUCAAAUUGUUUAAGCACCCGAAACUCUGACUUUCUUUCGGAUUGAAUUCUUUAUUAGUUGACUAUGGUAUAGGAGCAAUACUCGAUCAGAGGCUAGAUCCGGAGCUGGCUCCUCAGCGGGAAUGAAAUGGAAUAUAAAUGCACUGAUUCUACAAAGUCAUGUAGUAACAAAAACACAGCUUACUGAAUUUAUGGAAUUGGACCGAUUUGCUUCGAUCACUUCUCGACCGGGACUUCCUCCUAUAGAUAAGAUACCUGAGAGAUAGCCUAUAGAUAAGAAGAGAUGGAUCUAUGGGCAAGGAAGCUUAUUUCUACUUCCAGGCAAGGAAAGACGAAUCUAUUGUACUACCCCAAUGGAAGGGAAAGCUUACUGAGAUACCACCGAUACCCUAUGAAAGAGAGGGCAGAGGGGAGAAAUCAAGUGUUCCCUAAAGCCAGUUCUGUGUCUCCCUAAGUAGUGCUUUCCACUCAAAACUACGCGUACUUUCUUCUUUAUCUAAGCUAACUUUCUUCUUUAUAAUAAGUGAAGUGGAAUCUAUCUCUUUAAAAUAGAUCAUAUAUAUCGUUAAAAGGAGCCUUCCCACACCAACACCAGUGGGAUCAGUAGUUUUCUACCUUCUUUCUUAGGUCGGGGCAGAGUCAAUUCCAUACAUAAAUGUGCUAUUGCGGUAAGUCAACUAUGGUACACAGGAUUAUGACAGAUUUGGACCGAUUUCUUAUGACUUUAACCUUAACCAACAAGCACCGAAUUAACCAGUAAAGCCUAACUGCUUCCCCACUUUAUACUGUCUCAACUACAAGAUCUGCAUUAGCAGUAGGAUCCUCUUCUUAGGUUCGAGUGUUGGCAAUGUAGUUAGUUUUGUCGACUCGAGUGGUUCUGCUCGAGCUUUGUCUGCAUCUGCAAGAGAGGUUCCAGUCGAGGAAAGUCUAGGUUCGGGCAAUAAUAAAGUACUGGAUUUGACUAAGCACAGAGAGUUCCAGAAGCAUAAGAAGCAGGAGCUGUUUUCAGAUCUUCAGCAGCAUAAUUGUCAAUUGAAAGUAUUGUUUCAGAAGAUGCAAGAGCAGAUGCCGUUCUAAAGUAAUCUGUGUUUGCAACUCGAUAAGAUGCCUCAGAAAGAUCAUAAGUUGGGUAAUAAUAUCUUACUAGCUUUGAUGCGGGUGAGGAAGACAGUUACUUGUCCGCUUGCAGGGCAGAGCCAUAGGUAUAGGAGCCGAGCCGGAUUAAGGUAUAGUUUACAGAGGUAUCGUAGCCCUAGGGAUAUCAUAAGAAAGGUAGAGAAUGGAGUUUACUACCCGGUAUUGAACUAGUAUUUCACUAAGGAAUAGGCCAAGCAACGUAGCUAUAAGAACAUCCCCUACUAUUAAUAAGAUAAUAUAUAAUUAUGUGUACAGUGUAUGUACUGUGGAAAUUGAAGUAGUUUAUCAUCUGAGUGUAGCUAUCUCGUAAACUCGGUAAAGCCUUUCAAAACUCAUUCCAAAAUAUUGAUGAAACCUAACCGCUGAACUAUAACAGGCUAUUCUAAGGCUUCUUCUCCUAUAACUUGAACUUUCGAAAAAAGAGUCCAAAGAGCCAGAGGAGUCAAAAGAGCUGCGCUACCACUACCAAGAAUGGUGUUUACUGAACACUUAAGGAAUCGAUAAAGUCAACAGAAAAACUACGGAAAUUGAUCCUAAACCUUUAAGAACAAAUAGGCGCCCCGAACACACAGGACAGAUUCCACUGCUCUGCUUUGAGGCGAGGUCUAGGUAAAGUACUGGCUCUGGCUCUUCUCCACUGUAAACUUGAACUGGGCAUUCACUUAGAGCUUCCAAGCAUGGAAUUUCUUCUUACCAACACCCGGAUACUUCUCUUGGAGACUCACUGUUUUCGGGAGCUCAACAAAGUAUAUAGUCAAAGUCUAGAGCAAGUCCCACUUCUUUGACAACUUUCUUUCAUUCCUACUUCUUUGUCUAAGUCUAAUGCCUAUUGGUUUCCAUCCUUUGUUAGCGAGGUAAGCCUUAUUAGUCGCAGUGAAAGCGUGAGUUCCAACCAGGAGUCUUGCCCAUAGUAGUUGACUUCCGAGUUAGCAGUGAAAGCCUUAGUUCUUAGUUUGAGCAUUGUAGUUAUUGGCUCUAUUCCUUGUUGUUGAUUUGAUUCUUUCUAAUAGUCGUUUUCAAGCCUGAGUUCAGAGUCUGAUUGGUAGCGGUUGAUUAUGCCCUAAGUGCAAUUGCUGUUAUCAGUGUUUUGACUCUUAUAGUUAAGAAUUGCCGUCUCAUAGUUAGUAGCUCAAAUCUUAUAGUUAGUAGCUGGGUGCGCUAGAUCAUAUCUGUAUUCUUUAUUCCCCAUUUCAUUCUUAUAUGAAGUAGUGUUUGGCCUUAGAGCCAGGAAAGACUAACUAACAGGCGAAUAUAGAGGAGAUCCUUAUCAGCAAUACCAGAAUCAAAGAUAGGGUAGCGAGGCAGUUAGGAAAGAGAGAUAGGUUUAGAUAUAGGGUCGUAGGCCCGAGAGCCAGUAACUACAGGAACCAAACAAGGAUUUGCAGUUGGAAAGCAAGGUUUGAUACCAGCUGUGGAGGCCCUAGUUCCGAGUUCGAGUGUUACCAGUAGUAGUGAAAGCCCUGUUUGUUGAUAUGAGUUAAAGUAUCAUAAGCACUAGUCCCAAUCUUGUAGUAGUGGGUUCCAGCCUCGACCCUAGUAGUUGUAGUUACCAAAGCAAGGAGCAGUUCACUCGUUCUGGGGUUAUUGAUUUUUGUCUUAUAGCUAUGAGUAGAAGCCUCAUUAGUAGUACCUCAUUUCAAGUGAAAGUCUCGUUGUGGCUCAUUCCUGGAGUGACUAGUUUUCAUUCUUACAAGCAUGGGUUUCAAACUCUCUGACUUCCUUAUUAGUGGGAUUCCCGCCAGUACUGAUUGAAUUCCUUUUCAUAAGAGAAAGUAUUAGAAACACUAGUUCACGUUCUUUUGAGUAUUGGUUGAAGUCCUAUAUUGUCAAUAAGGAAUGAGUGUUAAGGGAGGCAUACUAUAAUAUAAGGUAAUAAAGUAGAUAAGUCAGAAUAGCAGUUAUAGUGCAAAGAACGAUAUAAAGUAGUUGAGGCUGAAGAGCUAGCUGGAGUUUUAAGGCUAAGAAGUCAAAAAGGUGAACUAAAGUCUUGUUGACGGUGGUUUCCGGACUAGGAUAAGGUAGUGUCUGGCUCGGGAGUGAUGCAAUAAGGCUGGGUGGACAAAAGAAGAAGGCUUGGAACUGGACAUAGAGAAUAAGGCUUGGCGAAGAGGUGAGCUAUAAGGAUUGACUACCUGGUGAGUUAGGCUUGUCCCUCUUACGCGGGGGUAAGGUUUGAUUGUGUGACGAGUCAGUGUUGUUGGCAGUGUUAUCCGUCGUGAUUUCAUUCCUUCCAGUAGACGCCAAGCUUAGUUGUAAGUGUAGCUAAAGGGAGCUAAUGAGGCAAGCUACUACUCUAGUUCUGGGUUAGCAGAAUAAACAGGAUCCGUGUUCAUAAUCAAGAUAUUAAGCUUCAGAAUGGCCUGUUCCUGUUGAGUUAGAAGCUUACGGAGUUCCGUGUAUCAGAAUUCUUUGUUGCGAAUCACUUAUUUACCCACGUAGCAGUUAAGUUGAAAGAGAAUGAACCUUAGAAAUAGAAAGAUUAGAUAAGAGGGUAGUAUAGACCCACCUGGUAAUUAGCCAGAGGAUUGAGCUCCUAACACGCUUAACCUAGAUCCACUAUAAGCACAAGCAGGUAAUUUCAUGAAAUAAGAAAAGGUUUCUAGUAUAGCAUAGAAGCGGGUAGUAUUCAAUCAAGAUAAUCUUAUUCCAGUGUCGGUCGAGUCAGAAUUCUCUGCAUACGAUGGAAAUGUUGUUUCUGUUUGAAAGGAAGCUACAAUUCCAGUUGUUUAUGAAGUAGACUGUGCCGAGGAAGGCCUCUUUCUCGUCCUUGAACAUAGGGGAAACUAGUUAAUGGAAUGGCAACCCUAUUAAACAACUUAUCUGCUACACUAAUGAAUUGGAUACUAAUAUCUUAGCUUUGAAGCUCCCUAUCUUAGCUUUGAAGCUCCCGUAAGCGGUAGAGAACAGGAACUCUACUUUGAUUUCAGAAUUCUCCUUUCAUAGCUGCUUCCUUUGGCACUGCUGGCUUUCAGGCUCUUCUACGGCUUAGCCUCUCAUCUUUGCUUUCGAACUCAAACAUCAAAUUCUUCCUCACCAAGAUCCCAGAUCCAGCUUUUACGCCUAAUUGAUAGUUUUAGGCUGGAACACCAUAUCCUUGCUUCUCUUGAAACAGUUUCUUCUCCUUCUCCCGAUGCAGAAAGGAUUUGCGCAAGAGACUUUUGAUACCUAACAGUUGAUUCUGCUUACUUGGGGACAGCUUCCCUUUUGCUUUAAGAUUCCUCUCCUUAUCCUUAUGAUUCUCUAGCUUCUUUCACUUGCAACAGCUUCGGCUUUAGACUCAGAUCCAGCAUCCUCUGAUGUCUACCUUUGAAUUGAAUAUCUCUCUUAUUUAGCAUCUGGUAUAGAAUGAAAUAAAGGUGUCGAACAGAAACUGCAUUAACUCCUCGUCGACAAAGAAUUCUUCAAUAAGGUUGGAUUUCUCAUUAGCUACGUUUCCCCGCGAUGAAAAAAGGGUAUACAAAGGUCUCUGUGUUGGGCCGUUCGAGCAAGGAUCGUUGGGAGUUCGGAUAGCCUUACUGAUCUAUAAGUCAGUUAAGAAUAUCGGCACCACCAAGAGAAUUGAGAAUCUAGAAUUGAGAAUAUCAGCAUCCCCAAGAGUCAAAGAGUAAGCUAAACUCAAUCAAACAUCAAUUGUGGAACGAGAACGAACAAGCAAGGGUGCAAAGGGAAAGGCGGAAAACGGAACUCAUUGUCUCACUUACCGCUUUUUAAGGGCUGAUGAUCUCUCUUCCGCUUCUGCACUUCCAUCUUUUCCUGUUUUCCUCGGUGUACUAUAAUCAAUGAAGUCUUAGCUUACUGAUGGAGAGUCAAAUUGAUAUGAAUGAGCAAGCCGGCUAAAAGAGUUACUGUUCCAUUAUCAGCUGAAAGUAGUGGUGUUGUGUCUUUACGUCAAUCUAUACCUUCUGGCAAAAUAGAACCAAGUCCUGUUAUAACCAAGUCCUG